rnacentral:rRNA from 1 species
GCUUAGAGUUUGAUCCUGGCUCAGAGUGAACGCUGGCGGCAUGGUUAAGACAUGCAAGUCGAGCGAUGAAGCCCCUUCGGGGGUGGAAGAGCGGCAAACGGGUGCGUAACACGUGAGAAACCUGCCCUGAAGCGGGGGACAACCGGGGGAAACUCCGGCUAAUACCGCAUGUGGCGCCUCUUCGCAUGAAGAGCGCGUUAAAGCUAGAAUUGGCACUUCAGGAGGGUCUCGCGGCCUAUCAGCUUGUUGGUGAGGUAACGGCUCACCAAGGCUAAGACGGGUAACUGGUCUGAGAGGAUGAUCAGUCACACUGGAACUGAGAUACGGUCCAGACACCUACGGGUGGCAGCAGUUUCGAAUCAUUCACAAUGGGCGCAAGCCUGAUGGUGCAAUGCCGCGUGGGGGAUGAAGGCCUUCGGGUUGUAAACCCCUGUCACCAGGGACUAAAAAACGGUGAAGAGCCGUCUUGAAUUAACCUGGAGAGGAAGAGGUGGCUAACUCCGUGCCAGCAGCCGCGGUAAUACGGGGACCUCGAGCGUUACUCGGAUUCACUGGGCGUAAAGGGAGCGCAGGCGGGCUGGUAUGUCAGAUGUGAAAUCUCGGAGCUUAACUCCGAAACUGCGUUUGAAACUACCAGUCUAGAGGCUCGGAGAGGCAAGUGGAAUUCCAGGUGUAGCGGUGAAAUGCGUAGAUAUCUGGAGGAACACCAAUGGCGAAGGCAGCUUGCUGGACGAGACCUGACGCUCAGGCUCGAAAGCGUGGGUAGCGAAAGGGAUUAGAUACCCCUGUAGUCCACGCCGUAACGUUGUACACUAGGUUUUGGAGGAUUCGACCCCUUCGGAGCCCAAGCUAACGCGAUAAGUGUACCGCCUGAGGACUACGAC